AGCAGCCGCGGUAAUUCCAGCUCCAAUAGCGUAUAUUAAAGUUGUUGCAGUUAAAAAGCUCGUAGUUGAAUUUCGGGGUUAGUAGGUUGGUCAUGCCUCUGGUAUGUACUGGUCUCACUGAUUCCUCCUUCCUGAUGAACCUUAAUGCCAUUUAUUUGGUGUUUUGGGGAAUUUGGACUGUUACUUUGAAAAAUUAGAGUGUUUAAAGCAAGCUAACGCUUGAAUGCAUUAGCAUGGAAUAAUGAAAUAGGACGUUCGAUCCUAUUUUGUUGGUUUCUAGGAUUGACGUAAUGAUUAAUAGGGAUAGUUGGGGGCAUUAGUAUUCAAUUGUCAGAGGUGAAAUUCUUGGAUUUAUUGAAGACUAACUACUGCGAAAGCAUUUGCCAAGGAUGUUUUCAUUAAUCAAGAACGAAAGUUAGGGGAUCGAAGACGAUCAGAUACUGUCGUAGU
rnacentral:rRNA from 1 species